rnacentral:rRNA from 1 species
UACGUAGGAGGCAAGCGUUGUCCGGAAUCACUGGGCGUAAAGCGCGUGUAGGUGGUGCGACAAGUCUGCUGUGAAAGCGCCUGGCUUAACCGGGCGAGGUCGGCGGAAACUGGCGUGCUGGAGGCCGGUAGAGGGGGGUGGAAUUCCCGGUGUAGUGGUGAAAUGCGUAGAGAUCGGGAGGAACACCAGUGGCGAAGGCGGCCCCCUGGGCCGGGCCUGACACUGAGACGCGAAGGCGUGGGGAGCGAACGGG